AACGUAGGAGACAAACGUUAUCCGGAGUUACUGGGCGUAAAGGGCGUGUAGGUGGUUUCGUAAGUCUGGCGUGAAAUUUUUCGGCUUAACCGGGAAAGGUCGUCGGAUACUGCAGAACUAGAGGACGGUAGAGGCGUGUGGAAUUCCGGGUGUAGUGGUGAAAUGCGUAGAGAUCGGAAAGAACACCAACGGCGAAAGCACUCUGCUGGGCCGACACUGACACUGAGAGACGAAAGCUAGGGGAGCGAAUGGG
rnacentral:rRNA from 1 species